rnacentral:tRNA from 1 species
GGCCCCUUGGUCAAGUGGUUAAGACAUCGCCCUUUCACGGCGGCGACACGAGUUCGAAUCUCGUAGGGGUCACCA